AUUGAACGCUGGCGGCAUGCUUUACACAUGCAAGUCGAACGGCAGCGCGGGCUUCGGCCUGGCGGCGAGUGGCGAACGGGUGAGUAAUGCAUCGGAACGUGCCCAGUAGUGGGGGAUAGCCCGGCGAAAGCCGGAUUAAUACCGCAUACGACCUGAGGGUGAAAGCGGGGGACCGAAAGGCCUCGCGCUAUUGGAGCGGCCGAUGUCGGAUUAGCUAGUUGGUGGGGUAAAGGCUUACCAAGGCGACGAUCCGUAGCUGGUCUGAGAGGACGACCAGCCACACUGGGACUGAGACACAGCCCAGACUCCUACGAGAGGCAGCAGUGGGGAAUUUUGGACAAUGGGGGCAACCCUGAUCCAGCCAUGCCGCGUGCGGGAAGAAGGCCUUCGGGUUGUAAACCGCUUUUGUUCGGGAAGAAAUCCUCUGGGCUAAUACCCCGGGGGGAUGACGGUACCGGAAGAAUAAGCACCGGCUAACUACGUG
rnacentral:rRNA from 1 species